rnacentral:rRNA from 1 species
AGUCGAGCGGUAACAUUUCUAGCUUGCUAGAAGAUGACGAGCGGCGGACGGGUGAGUAACGCGUAGGAAUCUGCCUAGUAGUGGGGGACAACAUGUGGAAACGCAUGCUAAUACCGCAUACGCCCUACGGGGGAAAGGAGGGGAUCUUCGGACCUUUCGCUAUUAGAUGAGCCUGCGUGAGAUUAGCUAGUUGGUGAGGUUAAGGCUCACCAAGGCGACGAUCUCUAGCUGGUCUGAGAGGAUGAUCAGCCACACUGGGACUGAGACACGGCCCAGACUCCGACGGGAGGCAGCAGUGGGGAAUAUUGGACAAUGGGCGCAAGCCUGAUCCAGCCAUGCCGCGUGUGUGAAGAAGGCCUUAGGGUUGUAAAGCACUUUCAGGAGUGAGGAAGGGUGUACGGUUAAUACCCGUAUAUUUUGACGUUAGCUCCAGAAGAAGCACCGGCCAACUCUGUGCCAGCAGCCGCGGUAAUACAGAGGGUGCAAGCGUUAAUCGGAAUUACUGGGCGUAAAGCGCGCGUAGGUGGUUUGUUAAGUCGGAUGUGAAAUCCCAGGGCUCAACCUUGGAAUUGCACCCGAUACUGGCAGGCUAGAGUACGGUAGAGGGGUGUGGAAUUUCCUGUGUAGCGGUGAAAUGCGUAGAUAUAGGAAGGAACAUCAGUGGCGAAGGCGACACCCUGGACCGAUACUGACACUGAGGUGCGAAAGCGUGGGGAGCAAACAGGAUUAGAUACCCUGGUAGUCCACGCCGUAAACGAUGUCUACUAGCCGUU